rnacentral:rRNA from 1 species
CCUACGGGGGACAGCAGUGAGGAAUAUUGGUCAAUGGUCGGGAGACUGAACCAGCCAAGCCGCGUGAGGGAUGAAGGUACAGAGUAUCGUAAACCUCUUUUGUCAGGGAACAAAGGCGGGGACGUGUCCCCGGAUGAGUGUACCUGAAGAAAAAGCAUCGGCUAACCCCGUGCCAGCAGCCGCGGUAAUACGGAGGAUGCGAGCGUUAUCCGGAUUUAUUGGGUUUAAGGGGUGCGCAGGCGGUCUGUUAAGUUAGCGGCAAAAGCCCGGGGCUCAACCCCGGCCCGCCGUUGAAACUGGCGGUCUCGAGUUGGAGAGAGGUAUGCGGAAUGCGCGGUGUAGCGGUGAAAUGCAUAGAUAUCGCGCAGAACUCCGAUUGCGAAGGCAGCAUGCCGGCUCCACACUGACGCUGAGGCACGAAAGCGUGGGUAUCGAACAGGAUUAGAUACCCCAGUAGUC